GCAUAUCAAUAAGCGGAGGAAAAGAAACCAACAGGGAUUGCCCCCAGUAACGGCGAGUGAAGCGGCAAGAGCUCAAAUUUGAAAGCUGGCUCCUUCGGGGUCCGCAUUGUAAUUUGCAGAGGAUGCUUCGGGAGCGGUCCCCAUCUAAGUGCCCUGGAACGGGACGUCAUAGAGGGUGAGAAUCCCGUAUGGGAUGGGGUGUCCGCGCCUAUGUGAAGCUCCUUCGACGAGUCGAGUUGUUUGGGAAUGCAGCUCUAAAUGGGUGGUAAAUUUCAUCUAAAGCUAAAUAUUGGCCGGAGACCGAUAGCGCACAAGUAGAGUGAUCGAAAGAUGAAAAGCACUUUGAAAAGAGAGUUAAAAAGCACGUGAAAUUGUUGAAAGGGAAGCGCUUGCGAUCAGACUCGCUCGCGGGGUUCAGCCGGCAUUCGUGCCGGUGUACUUCCCCGCGGGCGGGCCAGCGUCGGUUUGGGCGGUCGGUCAAAGGCCCUCGGAAGGUAACGCCCCCUCGGGGGCGUCUUAUAGCCGAGGGUGCAAUGCGACCUGCCUGGACCGAGGAACGCGCUUCGGCUCGGACGCUGGCAUAAUGGUCGUAAGCGACCCGUCUUGAAACACGGACCAAGGAGUCUAACAUCUACGCGAGUGUUCGGGUGUCAAACCCGUGCGCGCAGUGAAAGCGAACGGAGGUGGGAACCCUUUUGGGUGCACCAUCGACCGAUCCUGAUGUCUUCGGAUGGAUUUGAGUAAGAGCGUAGCUGUUGGGACCCGAAAGAUGGUGAACUAUGCCUGAAUAGGGCGAAGCCAGAGGAAACUCUGGUGGAGGCUCGUAGCGGUUCUGACGUGCAAAUCGAUCGUCGAAUUUGGGGUAUAGGGGGCGAAAGACUAAUCGAACCAUCUGGUAGCUGGUUCCUGCCGA
rnacentral:rRNA from 1 species